rnacentral:rRNA from 1 species
GGAGUUUGGGCCGUGUCUCAGUCCCAAUGUGGCCGGUCGCCCUCUCAGGCCGGCUACUGAUCGUCGCUUUGGUAGGCCGUUACCCUGCCAACUGGCUAAUCAGACGCGGGGCCAUCCCAUUCCACCGUGAUUUUUCACACUGCACCAUGCGGUGCUGUGCGCUUAUGCGGUAUUAACAGUCGUUUCCAACUGGUAUCCCCCGGAAUGGGGCAGGUUCCCCACGCGUUACUCACCCGUCCGCCACUCGGCGUUAUCAGUUUCCAUCCGAAAACUUCAACCGAUAACCCUCGUUCGACUUGCAUGUGUUAAGCACGCCGCCAGCGUUCAUC